AUUGAACGCUGGCGGCAGGCCUAACACAUGCAAGUCGAACGAGUGGCGGACGGGUGAGUAAUGUCUGGGAAACUGCCUGAUGGAGGGGGAUAACUACUGGAAACGGUAGCUAAUACCGCAUACCAUCAGAUGUGCCCAGAUGGGAUUAGCUUGUUGGGGUGGUAACGGCUCACCAAGGCGACGAUCCCUAGCUGGUCUGAGAGGUUGACCAGCCACACUGGAGCGGAAACACGGGCCAUACUCGUACGGGAGGCGGCAAGGGGUAUUAUUGCACCAUCGGCGCAAGCCGGAUGCAGCCAGGCUGCGGGUAUGAAGAAGGCCUUCGGGUUGUAAAGUACGUUCAGCGGGGAGGCGUUACCCGCAGCAGAAGCACCGGCUAACUCCGUGCCAGCAGCCGCGGUAAUUC
rnacentral:rRNA from 1 species